GCAGCACAAAAAGAUUGAAAAUGUCUUUCAAUAUUUUAUUAAUCAUAAUAGGGCUUUAAAUAGCCAACUUGAUAACAUAAUCUGCAGAAAAUCUGCAUAACAAGAAUUUAAAAAGACUAAAUAAUCUCAACAAUUAAAACAACCUAACAAAUAUUUAAAAUUUAAAUUCAUCCUAAAACUAGGUAGCUUAUUAUUUUAAAAAAUGACUGCAGUAACUAAAAACAAACUCAACACUCCUCCUUUGCUUUAGAUACUGUAAUUUAAAAAAGUUGCUCCUCCUCAAUUUCUGCUUCUACAACUUGUGGUUGAAGAUUGUUCUUAAGCUUGCAAACUUUUGUAACAUGACCGGCUUGUUUGCAAUUCCCACAUAUUGCAUUCGGUCUCCACCAAUAAAAAAUUUCCAAGUGCGCUUUUCUUUUGCAGUAUUUGCAAAGAGGAUAAUUAUCUUUUUCUUUUCUGUUUUGUGCAUAAAAGGCACCCUCGGUAACAUUAUCUUGCCUGAAGGCUCUUCUUCGCUCUUGUACUUGAAGAGCAUUUAUUAGUUCUUCAACAGAAAUAGUAGAGAUAUCUUUAGACUCUUCCAGAGAUGAAAUUUUAGAUUCGAAUCUCUCUGGAAUUGUCACAAGAAUUUUUUCUACUAUUCUGUCAUCUUUGAAAUCCUCGCCAAGCAACCUGAUUUUAUUAAUGAUAAAACAAAUCUUGUUAGAAUACUUAACAAUAGUUUCACCCUCUUGCAUCCUAAGAGAUUCGAAAUCUCUUUUCAAAUUCAAAAUUUGCAUUUGCCUGACUCGGUCACUUCCUUGAUAUUCCUUUUUUAUUUUUUUCCAAGCUUCUUUUGCCGUUUCACAAGCAAUGAUUUUUGAAAAAAUUGAAUCCGCAAUUGAAUUUUGAAUUACAGUUUUGACUUUGAAUUUUUUUGAUUUUUUCAUCCGAAUGAGAUUUAAUUUGAGCAAGGGUAGGAUUUGCAGGGAGAGGUUGUAAGGGUAUAUCUUCCAUUAUAACUUUCCAGAGAUCAUAGGCUACAAGAUAUGAUUUCAUUUUCACUGACCAAAUCUGAUAGUUUUCACUAGUGAAAUUUUUUGGGGCAUUCAAAGAGAGACUGUUUCUUGCCAUUAUUUCGGUUAAAAAUAAUUUAGAAAAGCAUGUGCGUUAAAAAAAUCACGGGUUGAAAAGGUAGCCUUGAUGGGUUAAAAUGGGUUGCCCUGAUGGGUUAAAAGGUAGCCCUUACGGGUUAAAACAUGUAUGGUAGUUCUUUGGAAGAUUUCACAGAUCCCUUAAGAUCAAUGAAACUCUGAUACCACUGUUGGUGUUUUUUAAAAAUGGGGCAGCACAAAAAGAUUGAAAAUGUCUCUCAAUAUUUUAUUAAUCAUAAUAGGGCUUUAAAUAGCCAACUUGAUAACAUAAUCUGCAGAAAAUCUGCUUAACAAGAAUUUAAAAAGACUAAAUAAUCUCAACAAUUAAAACAACCUAACAAAUAUUUAAAAUUCAAAUUCAUCCUAAAACUAGGUAGCUUAUUAUUUUAAAAAAUGACUGCAGUAACUAAAAGCAAACUCAACA
rnacentral:lncRNA from 1 species